GCGGGGGCGGAGCGGGACACGGGCAGGGCCUGGGAUCCCGCCAGUGGUCGCAACUGGCCGCAGCUGGCUGCAGCUGGCGCGGCGGGAUCCGCGGUUAGCUUGCGAAGCUGUGAUGACAGCCUCCCUGGAGCCCAGGAGUGGGUUUGGGUGAGGGAGCAGCAGGCGGGAGGCUGGGCCUGACCUCUAGGUUCCGACCCACUUUCCUGCAUGCUGCCCACCCUUUGCUUCCCUGUCCGACCCAGCCAGGUGCUUCCUUUGGACCCUGCCCUCCCGGUCCCCUCCCAGGCUCGCUGGCGUGGGGAUGGAGUGGAAGGUGAUGCAGAAUGGGGACAGGAUUGAGGAUUCUGAUGCCCUCACGGAUGCUAGUCUUUAUGAAACCACAUCCUACCAAGCAAGCGGACCAUGGCAACUUACUUGACCAUUGCCAGUCUCAGACCGACUCCCUGUCUCCACCCCACUCCUGGAGGUGGGCGUCGGAAUUAGGGGGGACUCUCUCAUAAUCAAAAACCAAACGUGGGACCUCAGCCAAGUGGGAAAUCACCCCCCGGAUGUGAAGGAGGGGGUGGGAAAGGAAGGGCUGGGGCAAGCCAUUAGGGGUCGUGCGUUUAUGGUGAAGAAGAGAGUUGGCUGCCAUAGACAUCCAGACAUCCGAGGGUCACUGGUGAGGGGAACAGCACCCUGAAUCUCCACAAGCCUCUAUCCAGCUAGAAGUGGGUUCCCCCCUUCUUUCUCUUUAGCUUCACCAUAAAAGGGAACGAUGAAGAGCCAAACAGGGCCAGGGGCUGGACUGUCGCUCUGGAGCUGUCAAGGGUAAUGGAAGCCAGUUGCCCUGCGGUAGAGUGGGGCCUGGGCUCAGGGGAGGUCUCUGCUUCUCUGAGCCAAAGAAAACCCUACAGGAGCUGCUAUAGGGUUGGAACAGCUGGGACAAGGGACCAGAGUGCCUCCUGUGUGCACAGUGAGCUGGCUUUUACUCUUCAAAUGUUGCUUUCUCUGGUCUCAGACCAUCAGCGGUUUGUGUCCAGUUUGCUCUUAAACUCAAUACUUGCCUUCAGUAGUUAGUUUACAGCUGUCUGCCUCCUCCCACUUUGUGUCCCAACCCCCACCUACCGUUUCCCAGAAGUUUCAUAUUUAGAAAUCCCAGGCCUACGUGCCCUCCACAUAACAUGGUUAAAACCUCAGACGUGCUUUCCCCCAGGCAUUCCUCUGUGAGUCGGUGUGUCCCCGGCUCUGCCCUGAGAGAGUGAUGUCUAGAUUUUAGGAUUACACAUUAUUAUGCUUCGUGUCUCCUGGAAAACUGGAGCAGAUCCAAAUCCAACCACUUAGGUAUGCAAUUGAAUCAGAAUUAGUCUAUGGUUUUAAAAGAAGCUGUACCUCUAGGCUGCCGAUGACAAGAGAAUGCCAGGGAGAAUGCUUCAGCUUUCAAACCAACUGAGCCAGGGACUUCGUUUUUUCUGGGUGAGCAAGCAGUUCUGGCUAAUCACUUUGGAAAUCUGUGGCUGCCUGGCAAUGCCACCACAGCAAGGACAUCACCACCACCACUAACGUUACCGCAUCCUACUGACACCGGUCACCCACAGCCUGCUUGCUCACGCUGAGGCCAGCACGGAGGAUUGUCAUUGGCAGUGGAUGGUGAAUUGGAGUUUUCACAAACACUCCUGUCCGCUCCUAGGGUUUGGCUCCUAGCUGGAAGGGUAGGUGAAAUGAGACCUACUGCCACUCCUCUUCAAACCAGCCUUCUUCUACUUGACUCACAUAAACUGUACAACAGGAUCUCUAACUCCAGAGAGCAGGCGGGGGGAAUACAUAGCAACUGGGCAAGAUGGCAAGGCUAGUUUUUUUUUUAUUUUAAGGUUGUUAGUGGCCCCCUGAAGGGAGAGGAGAAAAAGAAAGAAAAUUCACAGUGGCAGGCAGGGCAAUCUGGAGGGGAAAUGGGUUAGUUUCUGCCAAGGCUAGGGCCUGCAA
rnacentral:sRNA from 1 species